rnacentral:rRNA from 1 species
UACGUAUGGGGCAAGCGUUGUUCGGAUUUACUGGGCGUAAAGGGUGCGUAGGCGGGACGUUAAGUCGGAGGUGAAAUCUUGCAGCUCAACUGCAAAACUGCCUCCGAAACUGAUGUUCUUGAGUACGGGAGAGGUGAACGGAAUUCCUGGUGUAGGGGUGAAAUCUGUAGAUACCAGGAAGAACACCAGCGGCGUAGGCGGUUCACAAUUUCGAUACUGACGCUGAGGCACGAAAGCCAGGGGAG